AUACGGAGGGUGCAAGCGUUGUCCGGAUUUAUUGGGUUUAAAGGGUGUGUAGGCGGUGUAUUAAGUCAGUGGUGAAAGCCUGCGGCUCAACCGUAGAACUGCCAUUGAUACUGACACACUUGAGUAUGGACGAGGUAGGCGGAAUUUAUGGUGUAGCGGUGAAAUGCAUAGAUACCAUAAAGAACACCGAUAGCGAAGGCAGCUUACUAGGCCAUAACUGACGCUGAGGCACGAAAGCGUGAGGAGCGAACAGGAUUAGAAACCCUAGUAGUCC
rnacentral:rRNA from 1 species